CGCGCGAGCGGAAGAUGUCUAGGCGCGCGCUGUUGCCAUGGUAAUUCGUACCCGCCUCUACGCUUGUGAGCUCGUUUAUGGCCUCUUUCUCCAGGAGACAUAUCUAGAAGGAAGUUGUGAUGGCCAGUGUCAAACAGAUUUGUGGUACGAGAAGUGCUAAAGGAAGUCUUUCAACAAGAAAAUGAUACCAGAUAAAAUUGUGCAUCUACACAAAGGAAUAAAGGCACAGGAAAUGCCAAUUGCAUAGAUUCUACUUUGUAGAACUUUUAAAAAUGGUCUUAGAGAAGCUCAAGAGUUUCAGAAAGAAUUCCAAGUGGCUUACAGGAAAUGUUACAAUGAGAUAAAUAAAAUACAAACAUGAAUGGAAAAGAGAGAGGAAAAGAAGAUGAAGUACAAGGAAAAGAAGCUGUAAUGCACGUAGAAUAAUCUACAUAUAAAUUUAAGUUGAAUAAUCGCUGGCACUGGAGACGCAAAAGCAGAACAGCAGGGAAGGGAGGCAUGCCUAAAAGG